rnacentral:lncRNA from 1 species
CCCUGAGAAGGACGUUCCCAUGGUAGAAAAGAAGAGCAAGAAACCCAAGAAGAAAGAGAAAAAACACAAAGAGAAAGAGAGAGACAAGGAGAAGAAGAAGGAGAAGGAGAAGAAGGCUGAGGACCUGGACUUCUGGCUGUCUACCACCCCACCGCCUGCCCCCGCCCCCGCCCCCGCCCCCGUUCCAUCCACGGUAAGAGACUGGCAGCUGGCCAGUGCCAGCCUCGGUGUCUGCAGAGGUCAUACCUGGCACUCAGGGAAGAGCCCUGGGUCUCCUGAGGCCCUGUGCUCUCGCGGUCAGCACCGUGCACCUGUGGGACCCAGCACUGAGUGGAGCCGGGGUCAUGCUCCCGGGUCCCAGUGGGCCAAGCAGGGGCCAGGGGAAGGGGAGGACAGCCAGGGCCUCUGUGCUCACAGGCUCCCUGUCACUCGGAGGGCACUGUGGCCUCUCAGGCAGGCGUGAGGGCAAGCUGAGGGUGUGUGGCAUGGAGGCUGUCUGGGGUGCAGUGGAGUGGGGCCCCUCAUUGCCCAGCAUGAGCCCCAAGCCCUGGCUCCCUGCAGGGGGAGCUCAGUGUGAACACUGUCACUACCCCGAAGGACGAGUGUGAGGACGCCAAGACGGAGGCGCAGGGCGAGGAGGACGAUGCCGAGGGGCAAGACCAGGACAAG